rnacentral:rRNA from 1 species
UACGGGGGGGGGCAAGCGUUGUUCGGAAUUACUGGGCGUAAAGGGCUCGUAGGUGGCCAACUAAGUCAGACGUGAAAUCCCUCGGCUUAACCGGGGAACUGCGUCUGAUACUGGAUGGCUAGAGAUUGGGAGAGGGAUGCGGAAUUCCAGGUGUAGCGGUGAAAUGCGUAGAUAUCAGGAGGAACACCUGUGGCGAAAGCGGCUCACUGGACCACAACUGACGCUGAGACACGAAAGCCAGGGGAGCAAACGGG